UGGAGGUGCUCAUCUACAUCAUCAUGGAUUGCUUCGACCACCCACCAUCGUCCUUCACUCAUCCGUUAGAGAGGUUAUUAUCGAUCGAAAGAAAUAUUUUUGGAAAAAAUAAAUAAAAGAUAAUUUAGAUAUUUUACGCAAAUUGUUACGACAAAUAGAUGUCGAGUUGCAUUACAAUGAAAAAAAGCGUUAUUAUAUCCAAUUAAAAAUUUUAAAAAAUUAGUAUCAAAAUAUUGUUCGUUGAAAUUUGAAGAAAUAUCUCUAUAAUUUUUUCUUAAAAAUNUUUUUUAUUAAAUUGCUG
rnacentral:lncRNA from 1 species